rnacentral:lncRNA from 1 species
GGUGUCUGGGUCCCUGCCCUCCAGCCGCCUUUGAGUUGUGCCUCGGUCACGCUCCUCGCCCAUGCCUCAGAAACAUGAAGAAAGGAAGCUCUCGUGUUUGAUAGAAAACCUAGUUGAAUGCAACAUGCUCCCCUUGUCUGACGUGUUUAUUCAAGAUGAGCUGCGCAAAAAGUUGCAUCAGACGUUGAAGGAUCGGGGUGUACUGGGCAUACUCAAGGUAUUUACCAUGCAGGAUCUAUUACAACUCAUUAAAAUCAAUCCUACGUCCACUCUCUACAAAUUAUUGUCCAACAGGCUCCCUGUGUCUGACUUGUUGAAUCAAGAUGAGAUGCACAAAAAGCUGUACCAGACAUUGAAGGAUUGGGGUGUACUGGACACACUCAAGUAAGACCGAGAAUCUACUGAAUGUCCACUGUGAGCUUGGCACUGUGUUAGGCACUCUGCAGAUGUUUUGGGUGUUACAGAUGAGGAACCAGACUCUGGAG